rnacentral:rRNA from 1 species
GACGAACGCUGGCGGCGUGCUUAACACAUGCAAGUCGAACGGAAAGGCCCUGCUUUUGUGGGGUGCUCGAGUGGCGAACGGGUGAGUAACACGUGAGUAACCUGCCCUUGACUUUGGGAUAACUUCAGGAAACUGGGGCUAAUACCGGAUAGGAGCUCCUGCUGCAUGGUGGGGGUUGGAACGUUUCGGCGGUUGGGGAUGGACUCGCGGCUUAUCAGCUUGUUGGUGGGGUAGUGGCUUACCAAGGCUUUGACGGGUAGCCGGCCUGAGAGGGUGACCGGCCACAUUGGGACUGAGAUACGGCCCAGACUCCUACGGGAGGCAGCAGUGGGGAAUAUGGCACAAUGGGCGGAAGCCUGAUGCAGCAGCGCCGCGUGCGGGAUGACGGCCUUCGGGUGGUAAACCGCUUUCGCCUGUGACGAAGCGUGAGUGACGGUAAUGGGUAAAGAAGCACCGGCUAACUACGUG